rfam:Danio rerio chromosome 4, GRCz11 reference primary assembly.
GUCUCUGUGGCGCAAUAGGUUAGCGCGUUCGGCUAUUAACUGAAAGAUUGGUGGUUCAAGCUCACCCAGGGACG